GGGCCCGCACAAGCAGAGGAGCAUGUGGCUUAAUUCGAUGCAACGCGAAGAACCUUACCUGGAUUUGACAUAUACCUGCACGGCCUAUGAAAGUAGGCCUCCUUCGAGGGUGGUAUACAGGUGCUGCAUGGCUGUCGUCAGUUCGUGCCGUGAGGUGUUUGGUUAAGUCCACCAACGAACGCAACCCCUAUGAUCCGUUGCCAUCGGGUAAUGCCGGGAACUCAGAUCACACUGCCUGUUUACGCAGGAGGAAGGUGGGGAUGACGUCAAGUCAGUAUGGCCCUUACAUCCAGGGCUGCACACGUGCUACAAUGGCAUAUACAGAGCGACGCGAGACCGCGAGGUGGAGCAAAUCGCACAGAGUAUGCCUCAGUUCAGAUUGGAGUCUGCAACUCGACUCCAUGAAGUCGGAUUUGCUAGUAACGGCGUAUCAGCUACGACGCCGUGAAUGCGUUCCCGGGCCUU
rnacentral:rRNA from 1 species